AGCGAACGCUGGCGGCAUGCCUAACACAUGCAAGUCGCACGGGGGGGCUUCGGCCUCCCGGUGGCGGCCGGGUGAGGAACGCGUAGGGACCCGUCGAGGGGCGGGGGAUAACCGCGGGAAACUGCGGCUAAUACCGCAUGACGCCGCGGCGUGACAGCCGGGGCCAAAGGGGGAAGCCGCAAGGCGCGGGGCCUGCGUCCGAUUGGCUGGUUGGCGGGGUAGUGGCUCACGAAGGCGGGGACCGGUAGCUGGUCUGGUAGGGGGAUCAGCCAGGCCGGGACUGAGACACGGCCCGGACUCGUACGGAAGGGAGGGGAAGGGAGUAUUGUGCGAUGGACGCAAGCCUGAUCCAGCAGUGCCGGGUGGGAGGAGAAGGUCUUCGUAUUGUAAAGCCCUUUCUGCGGGGACGUGAGUGACGGUACCCGCAGAAGAAGCCCCGGCUAACUACGUG
rnacentral:rRNA from 1 species